rnacentral:rRNA from 1 species
UAAUACCCGCGCUCCAAGUGAUGACCACGAUUACUGGGCUUAAAGCGUUCGUAGCCGGUUUUGUUAGUUCCUGGUGAAAUCAAUCGGUAAACCGAUUGGCUUGCUGGGAAUACUGCAAGACUUGGGACCGGGAGAGGUCAGAGGUACUCCAGGGGUAAGGGUAAAAUCUUAUAAUCCUUGGGGGACCACCUGUGGCGAAGGCGUCUGACUAGAACGGAUCCGACGGUGAGGGACGAAAGCUAGGGUAGCAAACCGGAUUAGAUACCCGGGUAGUCCUAGCUGUAAACGAUGCCCACUAGACAUUGGUAAUCCUACGUGGGUUAUCAGAGUCGUAGGGAAACCGUUAAGUGGGCCGCCUGGGGAGUACGGUCGCAAGGCUG